CUUCUCGCCUUUGCCUUCCAAUUCCCUCCCCGCCCCCAUGGAGUGGGUCUGAGUCAGUGCGGCAGGAGAGGGCCCUGGAGCCUUCCGCAGCUCCAUGCCUUUCAACGUUGCUGCUGAAAUGCUUACCGUCUGCCGUUUUGUGCCUUUCAGGUGGGAGCCGCUCUGUGGGAGCAGGUAAGGGCACAGCGUGGACCUGCGUGGAAACGGUCACAGACUGUGGCUUUCCUCGCUAAAGGUGGUUGCAGCAGCGAGGCACUUGUGUGUGUGUGUGUGUGUGUGUGUGUGUGUGUGUGUGUGUGUGUGUGUGUGUGUGUGUGUGUGUGUGUGUGUGUGUGUGUGUGUGUGUGUGUGUGUGUGUGUGUCUGGCUCUCCCUCCCGUCCUGGCUUCCGUCUCCCUCCCUAACCCUUCUACUUUGUUCCUAGGCCCUGCUGAGACGCAGGUCGGGUCCUCCGUGCACACAGGAGACGUCCUGGCGGUUCUCUUUGGGGUGCUCUUCGCCAUCACGGGCCUCGCAUUCCUCGUCUAUGUCCGGAAGCACCGGAGGCAGAACUGCAGGCACGUGUGUGUGUGUGUGCCUGUGUGUGUGUGCGUGUGUGUGUGCGUGCGUGCGUGCAUCCGUGCGUGUGUGCAUGUGUGUGUGUGUGGUUUGGGGGAGGGGAAGAAUCACACCAUGCCCUGGAGGGAGACCGGACAGGCCCCUUUCUCCACAGCAGGGCAGUUCCCACGUCUUAGGAAGGAACUUCGCCCCAGCCUCUGCUUCCCCUUGACCGCCUCCAGUCACCAGGCAGGCAGGCAGGCAGGCAGGCAGGGGAGAUUGCUCUGGCCCACAGCCUCUCCAUCCUGA
rnacentral:lncRNA from 1 species